UAUACAUGCAGUCGAGCGGAUUGAUGGGAGCUUGCUCCCUGAAAUCAGCGGCGGACGGGUGAGUAACACGUGGGUAACCUGCCUGUAAGACUGGGAUAACUCCGGGAAACCGGGGCUAAUACCGGAUAGUUCUUUUCCUCGCAUGAGGAAAAGUGGAAAGGCGGCUUCGGCUGCCACUUACAGAUGGACCCGCGGCGCAUUAGCUAGUUGGUGAGGUAACGGCUCACCAAGGCAACGAUGCGUAGCCGACCUGAGAGGGUGAUCGGCCACACUGGGACUGAGACACGGCCCAGACUCCUACGGGAGGCAGCAGUAGGGAAUCUUCCGCAAUGGACGAAAGUCUGACGGAGCAACGCCGCGUGAGUGAUGAAGGUUUUCGGAUCGUAAAGCUCUGUUGUUAGGGAAGAACAAGUGCCGUUCGAAUAGGGCGGCACCUUGACGGUACCUAACCAGAAAGCCACGGCUAACUACGUGCCAGCAGCCGCGGUAAUACGUAGGUGGCAAGCGUUGUCCGGAAUUAUUGGGCGUAAAGCGCGCGCAGGCGGUCUCUUAAGUCUGAUGUGAAAGCCCACGGCUCAACCGUGGAGGGUCAUUGGAAA
rnacentral:rRNA from 2 species